rnacentral:rRNA from 1 species
GACGAACGCUGGCGGCGUGCUUAACACAUGCAAGUCGAACGGAAAGGCCCUGCUUUUGUGGGGUGCUCGAGUGGCGAACGGGUGAGUAACACGUGAGUAACCUGCCCUUGACUUUGGGAUAACUUCAGGAAACUGGGGCUAAUACCGGAUAGGAGCUCCUGCUGCAUGGUGGGGGUUGGAACGUUUCGGCUGUUGGGGAUGGACUCGCGGCUUAUCAGCUUGUUAGUGGGGUAGUGGCUUACCAAGGCUUUGACGGGUAGCCGGCCUGAGAGGGUGACCGGCCACAUUGGGACUGCGAUACGGCCCAGUGUCCUACGGGAGGCAGCAGUGGGGAGUAUUGCACAAUGGGCGGAAGCCGGAGGCAGCAGCGCCGCGGGCGGGAUGACGGCCUUCGGGGUGUGAACCGCUUUCGCCUGUGACGAAGCGUGAGUGACGGUAAUGGGUAAAGAAGCACCGGCUAACUACGUG